ensembl:lncRNA
AAGGAUUUUUCAUUGCUUUAAGUGGUUUUGGAGGAAUAGCCUUGUCAGGUAUUUGCUUGGGAGUUACAUGUGACAGUAACUUUGGAAGUCUAACAGCACACAGAAACUAAAUUAUAAAUCAGCAUGUAGCACUCCUAAGCCAGCCAGCUUCAUUGAGAUCCUUGAGAAAGGCUUAUAAUGGUUUAAAAGCUGAUCUAGGAACAAGACCAAAGCAUGUAACUUAUAAAAAAGCUCUCUUCUCCCAGAUACUUAGGCCAGGGUGCGUGGAGCAGAGAACUGCUUGCCUUCCUACGUGCAUCAGAAGGUUUGGGGGUGCUGCUGUGCUCCUGCAAGUUGCUAAACCAUAAAGAGCCAGAGAGCCACUGAAAAUUGGAUCGACAUCUUGGAGUUAAAUUUGGUGAAUUCCUUUUAUUUUUGAUUCCUAGAGAACAGGAGCUCUGCGCUGAAUCAAUUAGAGCAAGCCCUGGGCAAACUGGGAGGUUGGUUAAUGAAGGACCAGCUUCCACUGCUUGGAUCAUGGCUGUCAACUGGAAAUGGCUGGGAAGUUUGUUUCCAAAGCAGGAGUUGGAUGGACACACCACAGUGCCUUUGUCUUUACCUUUUCCUGACAAAAAAGGAUGAGCUAUCCUGUAUGCCACUUUUAUUCCAGCGGUGAAGCUGUGAAGGCUUGCACUGCAGAAGCUUGCGCUCUGAAAAGGGAAGCAUCUACCUACACCAAACAUCCAUCUGUUGCUCCACGAGCUUUGAAAAAUGCCUGGUUUUCCAUUUGCACUUAGCAUGGGUGCUGUGCGCAUAGGACGUUGUGCAUUGCUGGUGCCACAGGCUCUCUUGGUGGUGUUUUCCCUGAGUGUGAAAUAAGGAAGACAUCUCACACUCUGUGGAUGGAAAAUUAAACAGGUGUGCUCCUGAAGAGGUAUUUCUACGUGCGCAACAUAUAUCUGGUGGAGAGAUCUGGAAGAGCAGAAGAUCUCCCUCUCUCUAAUAGUCAGUCAGUGGGCACAUGGGGCUGUGCUGCAUACCCACAGGUAUUCACCAAGGAUACCCACCAGUCACCAAGAAAUCACUAAGAGUGGUGACACAUCCAGCCAUGCGUGGGGACACGUGUGACACAGGACACAGCUCAUCCUUGGUGCUGCUGGUCACGGGAGCUGGUGGCAAGUGGGAUAUCCCCUGGGAGCUCUGAAAGCCUGGUUAGCUUUGCACAGUCUGCAUGGGGCUGAGCUGGGGGAAUGGCUUUGCCCACAUUUGGGCACUGAAGUUAGAUAGCUUUGUCUACAAAACUUACUUGGAUUGCUCUGCACAAAAGCAGAAGGUCAUUUAUCCCAUUUACAACCAGCUCACACCAGCUCCUGCCCGGAGGAGCCUGUUUUCUUCCAUGGACUUUAAAUAGAGCAUCUGGCAGUGCGCUCAGACAUGCUGUCUCGCUCUUAAAUCCAUGAAUAUAGUGGGCAUGAGUCCACCCAGGAUCUCCUGCCCGUCCUCAUGCUGUGCUCCUCAUCCAGAGAUGGCAAGCAGCUUCCCAUCCUGUCUCUGUUUCUGUUUUUCCAAGUGAGCAUGGGGACGGAUGCUCCUCUCUGAUCUACCUUCCAUGCACAUACUUCUUAUGCAUCACAGUGCAGCAGCACUUUGUAAUAAUCAAAACUGUGCAUGUCAGAGAUGCAUAUUACAGCCUCCUAGCGAUUUAUUCAAGCAGCAGUGAUGAAGCUUUUACUACUCACACUCUUUGUAACAGGGCGUCAUUGCCAUUAUUAUGAUUAUUCACUUUAGAGCACAUGAAAACAUGUUAAGGACUCCAGAGACACUGAAAGAAACAGCCUUUUCCCAAACACUUCCAUUUGAAAUAAAGAUGCAUGGCAGCAGGCUGGUGCCAGAACAACAAUGAAGACAGAGAAUAGCAAAGCAUAAAGCUCACAGUGUAUGUACCCACAGUUGCAUCUCCCCUCAGGGUUGAGAGAUAUGAGUCUCAGAGUGGUCCUUAGGUCGGAGAUAGGACAACCAGAGGCACCUCCACCACCACCAUCAUUACCUCCUUUGUAUGCUCGCUAGCAGCUUUAUGUCCCCAGAAGCCCCAAAUACCAAUGGGAAUGU